rnacentral:rRNA from 1 species
GUGUCAGCCGCCGCGUAAUGCGUAGGUGGCAAGCGUUAUCCGGAAUUAUUGGGCGUAAAGCGCGCGCAGGUGGUUUCUUAAGUCUGAUGUGAAAGCCCACGGCUCAACCGUGGAGGGUCAUUGGAAACUGGGAGGCUUGAGUGCAGAAGAGGAAAGUGGAAUUCCAUGUGUAGCGGCGAAAUGCGUAGAGAUAUGGAGGAACACCAGUGGCGAAGGCGACUUUCUGGUCUGUAACUGACACCGAGGCGCGAAAGCGUGGGGAGCAAACAGGAUUAGAAACCCCGGUAGUCC